GCAUGCAAGAGGAGAAUAGCAAUUAAGAACAGUCAAUGUUUGGACAUCACUAAGGUAGAGAAGAAAUGCCUUUGAGACAGGCAGGGAGACUUCUCGGAAGGCCUAAUACCUGACCCCAGACUCAAAUGCCCCUAAUGACAAUGUCUAUAGAGGGAAGGGAGCAUGAGAUCUUCAGAAAUGGUUUUAAUGUGGGGUCGUUUGGAAGACUUCCCAGGAGAAGUUUUGAGAAGGACUCACCAGGGCAACCCGCCCCCAGCAGGUGACUGCAGAAAGUCCGUGGCUCUAAGGGAAAGUCCCAGGAAAUGAUGCUGGAGCCAUGGGACCUUUCACAGAAGCCUCAUGCUGUGUGCAUUGCCUGAAGUGAAGAUUGCAGCUAAAAACACGCAUAACUCUCUGCCACUGCUAAAGUGGAACUUGGUCAAGAUAGCCCCAUCUCCCAAGAAACCCCUCAGCUCAAAUUCCCACUCCCUAAUGCUUCAUAUCCAUCUGUAUUCUGCUGAGUUGGAUUAAGGCUAAAAAAAGUAUUUUGAAUCCUGCUGGGGGGAUUUUUUUAAAUGUCACAAUUCAAUUUUUUGGCUUUCCCGUAUUAAAGGAUUGCUGUUUUUUU